rnacentral:lncRNA from 1 species
AUCGAAGGCCCUUGAUGAAAUCAGUCUGGUUGCUGUCUUCUUCGUCAGCCUUUCAUUCCAGAUGAAGAACGCCUCUAAGAUCACCUCUAAAAAAUCCAAAAUCUGGUACCCAACUAGAUCAGGCCUGGACCGAGGUCUUUUAAUUUGUAGAUCUCGAAUUAGGGCAUUCUAGAUAGUGAAGAAGGUAGAUAGAAUCAGACCUUGCAGAUCUAUCCUGC